rnacentral:lncRNA from 1 species
UAAACAUUUAAGGAGUUUCUUAAAAGCCUUUUAACAUCAAGCCAGGUUUUAGAAGAAUUCAGACUUGGUGUACUUACAGGGUAUUUUAUGUGCUUAUCUUCAACUUAUUUACAUGUAAAUUGAUUUUGUUUCAUAGGAGUUUUCUAAGUAAAGAUAUUGAUACUUGCCUUAUUAUAGAAUGGGGAAGAAAACUGGAUGUCAACUGUAUGCUUCUUCAGUGUCCAAACUAUUUUAAAACAAUGUCUAGGCUUUAUUCAUAAACUAGGUAUAUCUGAGAUAAUAUAUUGACUGUUUUAACAUUGCCUUCUUUUUAUUUUGCAAGCUAAGAAGAGAUACCAGUGAACCUAAAUAGUGGACGAAAACAGGAGUGCUCUUGUUGUUGUUGUUGUUUUUGGAGGGGGGCAUCGAGGGGCUACUGUUACAAUUGCCAUUUGACUUGCAAAGUGUUGGUAAUUAUUAUUAGAACAUAUGCUGCAGAACAUAUUGAGUAUAGAAGAACUUAAGUUGAAUGCUAUUACAGAUCUAGACGUAAGAUUUCUUUUUCUUAAGUUAUCAUUAACUCUGUAUUUUACUUCUAACUGUAAAAUGGGGGCAUUUUACCUUUUUUUCCCUUUGGAUAGGAUCAGUUCUUAAGAGCAGCCCCAGUAACUGGAGGAAUGGGAGCUGUGUUGAUGAGAAAAAUGGGCUGGAGAGAAGGAGAAGGACUAGGAAAGAACAAAGAAGGAAAUAAGGAACCCAUCCUUGUUGACUUUAAGACAGACCGAAAAGGUCUUGUUGCAGUAGGAGAGAGAGCACAAAAGAGGUCUGGGAACUUCUCCGCUGCAAUGAAAGACUUGUCAGGCAAACAUCCUGUGUCUGCCUUGAUGGAAAUCUGUAAUAAGAGAAGGUGGCAACCACCUGAAUUUCUCUUGGUCCAUGACAGUGGCCCUGACCAUCGCAAACACUUCCUCUUUAGGGUAUUGAGAAAUGGAAGCCCUUACCAGCCCAAUUGUAUGUUUUUCUUGAAUAGGUAUUGAUAAAUGGAAGCGCUUACCAGCCCAGCUUUGCCAGCCCUAAUA